CAUUUUCACGAUUUCUCCCUUUGGUUUAUCUCUCUCCACCAACGCUCCUCCAUUUAUGGCCAGCUCCUCCAUCUCUGUCCAUCUACUUCUUUUUCAUUUUGUUCUUGAGCUCUCUAUAAGUUCGCUCUCUCUAUUUUGACUUAAAUGGUGUUAUCUGUACAUGAUUUCUUUGUAGAUCUAAUCUAUUUAGAAUCUAUUUAUGUCUAUUUUUUGUUUAUGAAAUAUUUAUUACCUAGUUUCCUCAAGAAAUGAGUAGAAUCUGCUUAUAUAUUAAAAAACUAAUUAGGCAUUUUUGUGAUUUCUACGUGUUUUUUUUUUUUAUCUACUAGCAAGUAGGACCAACUUAUUUUUAUUGUUCUCAGAUCAUAUUGAUGCAAUUAGUAAUUAUGGGUCUCUCAAGUUGAACAAGGUUGUUAAUAUUCAUGUGUCUCUCAAGUGUGUUAGUGGGUAUCAAAGAGUUAGUAAUUAGAUGUAAGAUUAAUAUAUUCAUUUAACAAGGGUGUUAAUAAGUUAUUGAAGUGUUAGUGGGUGAUUAAAAAUUUGAUGAUAAAAUGAUAAAGAAAAAUCAUGGGUCUCUCAAGUUGGCAAAUUAGAUGCAUGUGUAUAAUAUAAUUUCGAGCAAAGAAUGGGAUUGUUCAGUGCAAUUCCUUUGCAUAUGUAUAAUAUAAUUUACGGGCAAUUACUUAAAUGAAUAAAAGUUCUAGUAAUUAUGGUUCUUUUAAUUUGUGUGAUACAAUUCUAGUCCUAGCUGUGAGAAUUUCCUAGUGGUAGUGAAUCCUAAACUAGCCUAAUUUAUGUCAAAUUGUUUAUAUAUCUUGCUUGCUACUGAAUAAGCAGGUGAAAUUAUGAAAUUUGAG
rnacentral:misc_RNA from 1 species